GUCCCCGUGGAGUAAACUCACCUCGCUCCCUCCUCUUAGUGUGGGCGGAUAUACUGUUUAAGGGAGAGUCGGUGGUUCGAAUCCACCCGGGGACA